rnacentral:lncRNA from 1 species
CCAGGAAUGGGGGGAGAUGAAGGGCUUGUGGACGCUGCUCUGUUGGCCUGACUAGCUGGCUCUACAAGAAGCUACUGAAACUUUUUCUUAUUUUUCCUGAUCUGUAUUCGUAGAAGUACGUAUAGAGAUACAGAAAAAGGAGGAAGUACUUAAAACCAAAUAUCCAAUGGGGUAAUCCCUCUCCCAUGUACUUAACAGAAGAGGUCAUUUUAGCAUUGCAUAAUCCACAUUUCUAAAUAAAUGAAAGCAGACUAAUCUCAGAAACUUUUUCGUCUGCCCAAUCCUUUUGAAAAUCCUUUUGUUUUCAAUAUCACCUCAGUGCUGUGUACGUCAGUAGUAUGCCAGCUGACUUGUGCUAUGGAAGAUGUUUAUCCCUCUGUGUACACUGAAUCCAUUCCCUGCCAUUCACAUUUUAGCCGUUUUAGAGAACUCCAGUUAAUUUGAAAAAUGCUUGACUUUUUUAAUGAUUGUAAAACCUAAUUUUGUUUUA